rnacentral:rRNA from 1 species
GAUGAACGCUGGCGGCGUGCUUAACACAUGCAAGUCGAACGGAAAGGCCCAAGCUUGCUUGGGUACUCGAGUGGCGAACGGGUGAGUAACACGUGGGUGAUCUGCCCUGCACUUCGGGAUAAGCCUGGGAAACUGGGUCUAAUACUGGAUAGGACCACUUCUUGGAUGUUGUGGUGGAAAGUUUUUUCGGUGUGGGAUGAGCUCGCGGCCUAUCAGCUUGUUGGUGGGGUAAUGGCCUACCAAGGCGUCGACGGGUAGCCGGCCUGAGAGGGUGUACGGCCACAUUGGGACUGAGAGACGGCCCAGACUCCUACGGGAGGCAGCAGUGGGGAAUAUUGCACAAUGGGCGCAAGCCUGAUGCAGCGACGCCGCGGGGGGGAGGACGGCCUUCGGGUUGUAAACGCCUUUCGCUAGGGACGAAGCGUUUUGUGACGGUACCUGGAGAAGAAGCACCGGCUAACUACGUG